ACGCAGUUGAUCACUUAGCCCUCUUGUUUCAUGUGCUGAAAGAUCUCUAGAGCAGGAUGGAAAUGCAGGCUUCGAGUAAACAUUGAGGAUAGAGGACCACACCGGCAGUCAUCUUGUCGAGCAAACUCCUUGCUUCCCUCAAUCUCCUGGAACCUGAGGUAAAUUUCCAAGCGCGCCUGGCAGAUCGAUGCAUUGCUGGAGUAGCACAAGCACUAAAGGAGGCGCUGGCAAUGGAG
rnacentral:lncRNA from 1 species